UACGUAGGGCGCAAGCGUUGUCCGGAAUUAUUGGGCGUAAAGAGCUCGUAGGCGGCCUGUUACGUCUGCUGUGAAAUCCCGGGGCUUAACCCCGGGCGUGCAGUGGGUACGGGCAGGCUGGAGGCAGGCAGGGGAGAACGGAAUUCCCGGUGUAGCGGUAAAAUGCGCAGAUAUCGGGAGGAACACCGGUGGCGAAGGCGGUUCUCUGGGCCUGUACUGACGCUGAGGAGCGAAAGCGUGGGGAGCGAACAGG
rnacentral:rRNA from 1 species